rnacentral:rRNA from 1 species
CUGGCGGCAGGCCUAACACAUGCAAGUCGAGCGCACUCUUCGGAGUGAGCGGCGGACGGGUUAGUAACGCGUGGGAACAUACCCUUUUCUAUGGAAUAGCCUCGGGAAACUGAGAGUAAUACCAUAUACGCCCUUCGGGGGAAAGAUUUAUCGGUGAAGGAUUGGCCCGCGUAAGAUUAGAUAGUUGGUGGGGUAAUGGCCUACCAAGUCUACGAUCUUUAGCUGGUUUGAGAGGAUGAUCAGCAACACUGGGACUGAGACACGGCCCAGACUCCUACGGGAGGCAGCAGUGGGGAAUCUUAGACAAUGGGCGCAAGCCUGAUCUAGCCAUGCCGCGUGAGUGACGAAGGCCUUAGGGUCGUAAAGCUCUUUCGCCAGAGAUGAUAAUGACAGUAUCUGGUAAAGAAACCCCGGCUAACUCCGUGCCAGCAGCCGCGGUAAUACGGAGGGGGUUAGCGUUGUUCGGAAUUACUGGGCGUAAAGCGUACGUAGGCGGAUUGGAAAGUAGGGGGUGAAAUCCCAGGGCUCAACCCUGGAACUGCCUCCUAAACUACUAGUCUAGAGUUCGAGAGAGGUGAGUGGAAUUCCAAGUGUAGAGGUGAAAUUCGUAGAUAUUUGGAGGAACACCAGUGGCGAAGGCGGCUCACUGGCUCGAUACUGACGCUGAGGUACGAAAGUGUGGGGAGCAAACAGGAUUAGAUACCCUGGUAGUCCACACCGUAAACGAUGAAUGCCAGACGUCGGGGGGCUUGCCCUUCGGUGUCACACCUAACGGAUUAAGC